AUUUUACUGGAGUUGUAGUGGCAGGCUCACAGGCGUACUACAGUUGCUCGCCACCUCAACAAUGGCUUUAAUGAUGAGGGUACUUCAAUUGUCUCUACUCCUUGAUGUGGGCUGUCAAGUACAUGCUUACAGGAUCGGAUAUGCUGAGCCGGAGAUGCCUACGUAUGGGCUGCAGCAGCCUGCUAGCUACAAGCCACAGCAACCUCCUAGCUACAAGCCCCACCCCA